rnacentral:rRNA from 1 species
GACGAACGCUGGCGGCGUGCUUAACACAUGCAAGUCGAGCGGUAAGGCCCUUUCGGGGGUACACGAGCGGCGAACGGGUGAGUAACACGUGGGUGACCUGCCCUCAGCUCUGGGAUAAGCCUGGGAAACCGGGUCUAAUACCGGAUAUGACUCCAUGACGCAUGUUGUGGGUGGAAAGCCUUGUGCGGCUGAGGAUGGGCCCGCGGCCUAUCAGCUUGUUGGUGGGGUGAUGGCCUACCAAGGCGACGACGGGUAGCCGGCCUGAGAGGGCGACCGGCCA